AAGGCUUGCAAGGGGCGUGGGUCUUCAGUACGGCGUUGGCUUCCGGAGGGGGAGGUGCUGCGGGUUCUUGGCUUCUUGUACCGUUUUAUACCUACCAGCCAAGAUCUCGCCUCGACUGACUGACUGACUGACACGUGCUCCGCCCCGCCCACCACAGGAGCUCUCCAUUCACCGGGGCCCAGAACUGGAGGAGGGGAGUCGCUUGUGCCGGGAGAAGAGUGCCAGCCGCUUCCGUCCAUGGGCAGAGGCGGAGUCCUCGUCAUCGUCGUCUGGUAGCCCCGGCAGGUAGGGGUAUGUAGACAUGUCCAGCAAUACUGUGGGGUAUCGGAUGUACCCUGCGGAAGGAGGGGGAACAUGAGUGUGUCUGAAGAGGAGGUCAGGAAGUAAGUAUGGAGUGGAUGAUGAACAAACCCCUUCUGUCCAGUCCACUUACAACACUGUUCCAGCAGCACCCCACCAGCCAAGCCUCUCCAAUUUCCUGCACCUCCUCCUCUAAGAUAUCUGUGAAUCUCCUUUUCCUCCAAGCUAGAGUAUGUUUGCUAAUUUGUACAUGCCAUCCCAAUCACUAUUCAUUCAGGGAAACUCCUCUGAAGAAUUGAGCCGAGGUAGAGAAAUGAGCUUGUUGAAUUGAAGAAAGGUAAUCUAUCUUCAUUUUGACAUUAGUUCAUUAUGUGAGUAGUAAUUGGAAUGGUGCGUGAUUGGUCUACGAUGUGACUUGCACCACGAAAAAAGAUGCAUGUGAGUGUUCCAUAUAAUAAUAAAUAAAGUCGAGUAUCUAA